AGGAGAAGAACACACUUUCCAGUCCAACAGGAAUGAGAAAAUAAUGAACAGGAAAACCACAUCAAGCUAAAAACAUGGUCCAUCUUCCAAUGGAGACCCAAGAGAGCAAAAGAAAAAUGUCAGCAAACUAAGAACUGGCAAUGGACCAGGAAAAGAAGUUAAAAUGCUUCAUAAAAUAGCCUCAGUCAGCCACGGAGACCAAUUAGGCUAUGCUAUAACAAGGAUUACUGAACUGUAAUUAUUAUUUAUUCAAAUCAGUGGAAGAAUUACUGUGGCUUACGUUAAAGACAAUAGAAGCUAAUGGAGGGAGAAGCAGAAGAGACCAGCAGUGAUUUCGACAGCACGUUGUCAGCCACACAAGCAGUAUAAAAGCACCCAUCUAACUGACAGCCUGAAAUAGGGGCCUACUGAUAUUUGCUUGUGAGUCAUUCGUUUCAAGCAUAUUUUCAAACACAACCUCUCUUUAAAGAAAUAUCCUUGGAAAAAGUGUAUGUAUGAUACGUACACU
rnacentral:lncRNA from 1 species